rnacentral:rRNA from 1 species
AUACGUAUGGUGCAAACGUUGUUCGGAAUCACUGGGCUUAAAGAGCACGUAGGCGGUUAAGAAAGUCUGGCGUGAAAUCCCUCGGCUUAACCGAGGAACUGCGCUAGAUACUGCUUGACUCGAGUGCGGGAGGGGAGAGUGGAAUUCCUGGUGGGGCGGUGAAAUGCGUAGAUAUCAGGAGGAACGCCGGUGGCGAAAGCGACUCUCUGGCCUGCCACUGACGCUGAGGUGCGAAAGCUAGGGGAGCGAACGGGAUUAGAAACCCCAGUAGUCC